UGGGGAAUAUUGGACAAUGGGCGCAAGCCUGAUCCAGCAAUGCCGCGUGAGUGAUGAAGGCCUUAGGGUUGUAAAGCUCUUUCGCACGCGACGAUGAUGACGGUAGCGUGAGAAGAAGCCCCGGCUAACUUCGUGCCAGCAGCCGCGGUAAUACGAAGGGGGCUAGCGUUGUUCGGAAUUACUGGGCGUAAAGGGCGCGUAGGCGGCCUGUUUAGUCAGAAGUGAAAGCCCCGGGCUCAACCUGGGAAUAGCUUUUGAUACUGGCAGGCUUGAGUUCCGGAGAGGAUGGUGGAAUUCCCAGUGUAGAGGUGAAAUUCGUAGAUAUUGGGAAGAACACCGGUGGCGAAGGCGGCCAUCUGGACGGACACUGACGCUGAGGCGCGAAAGCGUGGGGAGCAAACAGGAUUAGAUACCCUGGUAGUCCACGCCCGUAAACGAUGAAUGCUAGACGUCGGGGUGCAUGCACUUCGGUGUCGCCGCUAACGCAUUAAGCAUUCCGCCUGGGGGAGUACGGCCGCAAGGUU
rnacentral:rRNA from 1 species